UUAAAGCGGGUCCUUAAUUUUUAUCUUUAAAUGACACUACUAUUUUAUAGGUUUACAAUCACUGUUACAAACCCUUUGGACAUACACGUGAAUAUAAGCUAAUGGGUUUUGGGUUUAAAGAAAAUAAAUGCAAAUUAAAUUUAACAGGCAACUAUAAGUACCUAAGGCUAAGGAAGCACACAUUAAAAAGGUGUAAGAGCCCUAAAGUCUUUUGAGUUUCAAGAAAACUUACUUCACCGGCUAAGUAAGCAUCAACGCUAUUCGUCUUUAAAUAACAAGGGCCUUCAUUAAUUUCCUUACCAACAAAAUCUUCAAAAACAACCAAGAACAUAGGUGCAGCAAUUGUUUAUUUCAUCAUAAAAAAAUGCCACAGAGAAA